rnacentral:tRNA from 1 species
GGGCCCAUAGCUCAAGCGGUAAGAGCACCGGACUGAUAAUCCGACGAUGCGGGAUCGACACCCGCUGGGUCCACCA